AUUGAACGCUGGCGGCAGGCCUAACACAUGCAAGUCGAACGAGUGGCGGACGGGUGAGUAAUGUCUGGGGAACUGCCCGAUGGAGGGGGAUAACUACUGGAAACGGUAGCUAAUACCGCAUACCAUCGGAUGUGCCCAGAUGGGAUUAGCUAGUAGGUGGGGUAAUGGCUCACCUAGGCGACGAUCCCUAGCUGGUCUGAGAGGAUGACCAGCCACACUGGAACUGAGACACGGUCCAGACUCCUACGGGAGGCAGCAGUGGGGAAUAUUGCACAAUGGGCGCAAGCCUGAUGCAGCCAUGCCGCGUGUAUGAAGAAGGCCUUCGGGUUGUAAAGUACUUUCAGCGAGGAGGCGUUACCCGCAGAAGAAGCACCGGCUAACUCCGUGCCAGCCGCCGCGGUAAUAC
rnacentral:rRNA from 1 species